GAUGAAGAACGCAGCGAAAUGCGAUAAGUAGUGUGAAUUGCAGAAUUCAGUGAAUCAUCGAGUCUUUGAACGCACAUUGCGCCCCCUGGUAUUCCGGGGGGCAUGCCUGUCCGAGCGUCAUUGCUGCCCUCAAGCACGGCUUGUGUGUUGGGCCCCCGUCCCCGGUUUCCCCCGGGGACGGGCCCGAAAGGCAGCGGCGGCACCGCGUCCGGUCCUCGAGCGUAUGGGGCUUUGUCACCCGCUCUGUAGGCCCGGCCGGCGCCAGCCGACACCCAACUUUAUUUCUAAGGUUGACCUCGGAUCAGGUAGGGAUACCCGCUGAACUUAAGCAUAUCAAUAAGCGGAGGA
rnacentral:misc_RNA from 1 species